GGAGUUCUCAUUUUUUUUUUAAACUUAAGGUACUCAUCCCUUCACCAAACUUAACUCUCAAGGACGUGAACUUGAAGUUGGUUGACUUUUAUGGUCACACAUCAGCUUAGUUCAAUCUAUCCGUGGGUUGACCCCUAGACUAACCCACGCUAAUUUGUCAUUUUGCGAAUUUCAUAAAUGGAUUUUUAGAUAUUUUUGAUAAAUACUUUCCAUGGUUUUUUACUUUCUUUUUUCCUGUUAAAUUUUCUAUUAUGUGAAAAUUUUUUCAUGCUUGCCAUAAGGAGCUGCUGACAGACUGAAAAAAGUGUCUUACCUGAUUUGUUCUAAGAUACCAAUUUUUUUUCAUGCAAUGGAAGAUUCUGAUAAUUCUGCAAUAACUUAAAGAAUGGCUAAAUAUUUACCGACAUAAUACAAAUCUAUGUUACGAUGGGGAUCCCAUGAUGUCUCUAGUUGCUCUUGUGAGUUUUGUUGCUUCGGCCAUUUUCACUCAUUUACCAGUUAUAUGCUAGAUAGGCAACUUGUUUAUUUUUCUGGCUUACAGGGGACUAAUAUGCUCUCACGGCUU
rnacentral:misc_RNA from 1 species